rnacentral:rRNA from 1 species
AUUGAACGCUGGCGGAAUGCUUUACAUAUGCAAGUCGAACGGCAGCACGGGGGCAACCUUGGUGGCGAGUGGCAAACGGGUGAGUAACACAUCGGAACAUGCCCAGUCGUGGGGGAUGACGUAGCGAAAGUUACGCUACUACCGCAUACGAUCUAAGGAUGAAAGCUGGGGACCGUAAGGCCUCGCGCGAUUGGAGUGGCCGAUGCCAGAUUAGGUAGUUGGUGGGGUAAAGGCUCACCAAGCCAACGUUCUGUAGCUGGUCUGAGAGGACGACCAGCCACACUGGGACUGAGACACGGCCCAGACUCCUACGGGAGGCAGCAGUGGGGAAUUUUGGACAAUGGGCGCAAGCCUGAUCCAGCCAUUCCGCGUGCAGGACGAAGGCCUUCGGGUUGUAAACUGCUUUUGUACGGAGCGAAAAGCCUUGGGUUAAUACCUCGGGGUCAUGACGGUACCGUAAGAAUAAGCACCGGCUAACUACGUGCCAGCAGCCGCCGUAA